rnacentral:tRNA from 1 species
GCCCUUGUAGCCCAACUGUUAAGCUGUUGGCUGCUAACCAAAAGGUUGGUUGUUCAAACCCACCCAGUGGUU